GCCGGGCACGGUGGCUCACGCCUGUAAUCCCAGCACCUUGGGAGGCUGAGGCAGGUGGAUCACCUGAGGUCAGGAGUUCGAGACCAGCCUGACCAACAUGGUGAAACCCUGUCUCUA
rnacentral:SRP_RNA from 1 species